ensembl:snoRNA
AUCAAUUGAAUCUCAGUCUCCCUUCCUAGUCAUGGAAGAACAUAUUCUUGUUUAUUGGCAAAGCUGUCACCAUUUAAUUGGUAUCAGAUUCUGACUUGCACAAGCAUCAUUG